UACGUAGGGGGCUAGCGUUAUCCGGAAUUACUGGGCGUAAAGCGCGCGCAGGCGGUCUUCCAAGUCAGUGGUGAAAGCCUGGAGCUCAACUCCAGAACUGCCAUUGAAACUGUUAGACUUGAGUACGAGAGAGGUGAGUGGAAUUCCCAGUGUAGAGGUGAAAUUCGUAGAUAUUGGGAAGAACACCAGUGGCGAAGGCGGCUCACUGGCCCGAUACUGACGCUGAGGUGCGAAAGCGUGGGGAGCAAACAGG
rnacentral:rRNA from 1 species